rnacentral:rRNA from 1 species
AGGGCAACAGGUGAAUGCCUUGGCGCUGAGAGGCGAUGAAAGACGCGGUAAGCUGCGAUAAGCAUCGGGGAGGAGCUAAACAUCCUACGAUCCGAUGAUUUCUGAAUGGGGAAACCCGAUGGGAGUCAUGUCCCAUCAUCCUGAGCUGAAUAUAUAGGCCCAGAGAAGCCAACCCGGGGAAGUGAAACAUCUCAGUACCCGGAGGAAGAGAAAUCAAACGAGACUCCCAAAGUAGCGGCGAGCGAAAUGGGAAGAGCCCAAACCGGGUGGUUUCGACCAUUCGGGGUUGUAGGGCCGGCAUACGCGAUUCUGGAGUAGGCAGAGGAAGUGAGCUGGAAAGCUCCGCCACAGCGGGUGAUAGCCCCGUACUCGAAACCGAAAAGGACGCAGCCGGUACCUGAGUACUGCGAGGCACGUGGAACCUCGUGGGAAUCUAGGGGGACCAUCCUCUAAGGCUAAGUACUCCUCAGCGACCGAUAGUGAACUAGUACCGUGAGGGAAAGGUGAAAAGAACCCCUGUUAGGGGAGUGAAAUAGAAUCUGAAACCUGUUGCCUACAAGCUGCGAGAGCUGCUUUUUGCAGUGAUCGCGUGCCUUUUGUAUAAUGAGUCAGCGAGUUACUCUACCGUGCGAGGUUAAGCGAAAGCGUAGCCGUAGUGAAAGCGAGGCUUAAUAGGCCGACUAGUACGUUGGAGUAGACCCGAAACCGGGUGAUCUAUCCAUGAGCAGGUUGAAGCAAGGGUAAAGCCUUGUGGAGGACCGAACCGUCAACGGCUGAAAACGUUCCGGAUGACUUGUGGAUAGGGGUGAAAGGUCAAUCAAACCCGGUGAUAGCUGGUUCUCCCCGAAAUAUAUUGAGGUAUAGCCUCGGGAAUUGAUUAGCGGAGGUAAAGCACUGACAGAGCUAGGGGUCCUACCAGAUUACCAAACUCUAUCAAACUCAGAAUGCCGCUUAAUUGUAUCCCGGGAGUCAGACGGCGGGUGCGAAGGUUCGUCGUCAAAAGGGAAACAGCCCAGACCAACAGCUAAGGUCUCCAAAUCCAUGCUCAGUGGUGAAGGUAGUGGAACCGUUUAGACAGCCAGGACGUUGGCUUAGAAGCAGCCAUCGUUUAAAGAAAGCGUAAUAGCUCACUGGUCUAAUGGCUCUGCGCCGAAAAUGUAACGGGGCUAAGCAUGGUACCGAAGCUUUGGCAAUCUCCUUUGGAGAUUGGGUAGGGGAGCGUUCGCUGCGGGCUGAAGGUGUAUCGGAAGGUAUGCUGGACUGCAGUGAAGUGAUUAUGCUGACAUGAGUAACGAUAAAAUAUGUGAAAAACAUAUUCGCCGAAAACCCGAGGUUUCCUGGGUAAAGGUAAUCUUCCCAGGGUUAGUCGGAUCCUAAGGUGAGGGUGAAAGCCGUAACCGAUGGAAAACAGGUUAAUAUUCCUGUACUUGUUGUGUAGCGCGAUGGAGGGACGCAGGAAGAUAGGCGGGCCGGGUGUUGGAUAUCCCGGUGCAAGCGUGUAGGAAUAUCCGGUAGGCAAAUCCGCCGGACGAAUCUGAGACGCGAGUCCGUGGGCGCAAGCCCUGAAGCCGUUGAGUCUAUGCUGCCUAGAAAAGCUCCUAAGUUUAUCCACAGCAAUCCGUACCGCAAACCAACUCAGGUGGGUGGGAUGAACAAUCCAAGGCGCUCGAGAGAACUCUGGCCAAGGAACUCGGCAAAAUAACCCCGUAACUUCGGAAGAAGGGGUGCUCUCUAGGGUGACAUGUUUAACAUAUGAAGCCCCGGGGAGCCGCAGUGAAUUGGUGGUGGCGACUGUUUACUAAAAACAUAGGUCUGUGCGAAGUCCUAAAGACGACGUAUACGGACUGACGCCUGCCCGGUGCUGGAAGGUUAAAAGGAGGGGUCAGCGCAAGCAAAGCUCCGAAUUGAAGCCCCAGUAAACGGCGGCCGUAACUAUAACGGUCCUAAGGUAGCGAAAUUCCUUGUCGGGUAAGUUCCGACCUGCACGAAUGGCGUAACGAUCUCCACACUGUCUCGGCCAGAGACUCGGUGAAAUUGCAGUCGCGGUGAAAAUUCCGUGUACCCGCAGAAAGACGGAAAGACCCUGUGCACCUUUACUAUAGCUUGACAUUGGAUUUUGGGCCUGCAUGUGUAGGAUAGGUGGGAGGCUGUGAACCCUGUACGCCAGUAUGGGGGGAGCCAUCCUUGAAAUACCACCCUUGCAUGUUUAAGAUCCUAACUUCUUCCGGUUAUCCCGGAGAAAGACAGUGU